rnacentral:rRNA from 1 species
GUGAACGCUGGCGGUCGGCCUAACACAUGCCAGUCGAACGGCAGCACCGUAAGCGCUUGCUCUUACGGGUGGCGAGUGGCGGACGGGUGAGGAAUACAUCGGAAUCUACUUUUUCGUGGGGGAUAACGUAGGGAAACUUACGCUAAUACCGCAUACGACCUACGGGUGAAAGCAGGGGAUCUUCGGACCUUGCGCGAUUGAAUGAGCCGAUGUCGGAUUAGCUAGUUGGCGGGGUAAAGGCCCACCAAGGCGACGAUCCGUAGCUGGUCUGAGAGGAUGAUCAGCCACACUGGAACUGAGACACGGUCCAGACUCCUACGGGAGGCAGCAGUGGGGAAUAUUGGACAAUGGGCGCAAGCCUGAUCCAGCCAUACCGCGUGGGUGAAGAAGGCCUUCGGGUUGUAAAGCCCUUUUGUUGGGAAAGAAAAGCAGCAGGUUAAUACCCCGCUGUUCUGACGGUACCCAAAGAAUAAGCACCGGCUAACUUCGUG